rnacentral:lncRNA from 1 species
GGCUGCCAAAAUAUUAGUCCAGUCCUACCAUUUAAGAGUCUAAAUGGGCCGGCUCGUGGGCCACGGCCCAUUUGGACGGCUAUGGAUCUCCCUCGGCUGAGAAAGGGGAAAGGACAUCAGUUACAGCAUAACAAGUUCUCCAACUUAUCCCAGCUUACCAACUUGCUGGAAUUACAGAACUCUCCAUUCCUUUACAAAAGUUACAGCAUUCUGUUGAGGAGAAUGUUCUUAGUGGUGGCCUUCUUUAGGAAUAUGCGGUUGUUUUUCUCUUGCCAUGGGCACCAACAAGUACUUGCAAGUAGUGCAGGAACCGGCAUCUUCAUUCAAUCCACGGUGAUCAUAAUGAUGGUACGCGUGCUCUAAUUACAGCUCUAAGCUUCAAAUAUUUCCAAUGGCAGCAGAGGCUUUUGACGUUCUCCGGCUAGCAGCUCCUGCAAAG